AAAAUGUAUGCAUACAAACCCAUUUGGGUGGGACUCGAUUGGGUUGUUGUGGCGUAAAACCCGACUAAUUUUUUUAGCCAAGCUUCAAGUCGAUUAAGUAGCUCAAGUCAACCACAUGCUCUUAUGUAGGUUCUUGGGCUCGUUCUAAGGUUGGUCGUUCUUACAGUUCGUUCGUUUCUUGAGAUAAAAGCACUUUAUUAAGGUAAGAAGAAGGUUUGAAUGUUGGCGGCUCUUUGGUAUUGGCAGCGGUUACCCGGCAUCUUUUAAUGAUUUGGCAUUUCCCGUGUUUUGAACAUUUAACACACUCUAGUCGUUUUAGUACUUUGACGUUUGUUCGUACUUUAUUUAAAUUUUUCCGCUGCGUAUUGAUGACAUUUUGGUCUA